rnacentral:misc_RNA from 1 species
AAAAGCCUUUUUGUUAUUAUUCUUCCCAUGAUAUCCAGAAAAUCACAUACAGAGAUCCAGAUUCAAUAAUUCUUUGUUUCUUACCCCUAGCCUUAUAUAGAUUGGAGGUAUCACCCUCUAGAAUGUUUACUUCACAUCUACUAUGAUAAGGUUUCAUUUACUAACUGCUUAUAAAAAUUCCUGUGAAAAAAUAUCUCUGUCCCUUGUCUUUUUGAACGAUAACUAACUACACUAGUGACGUGCAAAUUUCCAGCAUACAUCUACAGUUGUUGAAGCAUAUUUAAUCCCACCGUAUCCUUUACAUGCAUACGCAGAAGUAAUUUUACAUCUCAGUUCGAAACUAUCUUGCAGACAUGUAAAAUAUUACCUUACAGACAUUAUAGAUAUCAAUUUCGAAAAUAAAUUGCAACAUUUCGUGAAACAUGUCAUAAAAUU